AAGCCUUUCAAGGGUGAAUGAUGAGUUAUUUUACCAAAUAUGAGAUGAAAAUAGAUGGACUUAAACCUCAGGGUAUGAAGAGAAACAUAUUUCUAAUGUAGCACGGAUGUUGAGUUCCCCUCACCUGACCCUCGACCCCAAACAGUCUGUGUAUAGUUUGAUUUGCCUCUAAGCCAGAGGGAAUUUCUUCCUUUAACCCGUCUUGUCUCCACACUUGAUGAAAACCCUUUAACUGAAAAUUUGGGAACCGAAGCAAUCAAAUAAUGCGUAUAGACCAGUUUGUAGCACUAUAAGAGGAUGACUACUGAAAAGACUGCAUCCCAGUCUUGUCUGAAAUACAACAGAUAGCACCUAUAUAAUUAGGUUGAUCUUUAUUUUAUUUAACCUGGGAUGAUUUUAGUAGGUUUGGUUUUGCACCAUAUUUUUGUUGGUUGUCAGCUGGUCUUGUCUUUGUUUCUGUGCUUGAUAAGCAUUUUUCUUUAGAAAUCAGGGUGCCUCCGGUUCGCAGUAGCACUUUACCGUCUCUGCCGUUCAGCUCUUCUAUUCAGACACAAAGGGCUUCAUCCACUUUUGGCCUACUGAUCACAAAAAAACACAGCACAGGACGUUUGAGUCAAGACAGAGCAAGAAAUCAACAGUCACAUUUUACUCCAAAUUUUAUAUCAUUAGGCGUGAGGGGGUGAAGAUUCGUCAGACUUGGCAAACACCAAAAUUAACAACUUUUUGCUGGUCAGGCUAUUUUUGGUUAUAAAAAAUGCAUUCUGUUGCCAAGAAGAUUCACAUAUGAAAAUAAAGAUUGAAUAAAUAUUACAGUAUUCUCACAUUGCUUUGGACAACAUAAGCUUAAACGUUUUCAUUUAGUUUCUUAAAUGAAGCAGUCAGCUAUUUAUGUUUGUAUGUUUGCUUUGAGCAGCAACAGAAAGCUGAUGA